UGGUGUGCUCUUUCUUACUGUUUGUCGCUUGGGGCUUGCUCAUCUCAUUUUAAUCCUCUUCCUUGUUUUAAUUACUUUUGCGUUGAUCCCCUUCAUCUCCAACCAGCGGGGUUGAAUGAGAAUUGAAUUUGGGGUCCAAUGCCGGCCCAAAAAUCCUCAGAUGGUGUAGUAGGGCUGUACUUAACCGGUUCCUACUUAACCCGGUUCAAUUUCCAUUUGGGUGAUUCUGUUAUUUCUGUCACCGUGUUUCGUAUACUGGGCAAUUUGGGAGCAUCGGAUAUCUCGAAGAGGACACCGUCUGCGGUCGCCAAAAGAAAAGCUCGGCCUUGCACAGAGGGAUAGGUAGAGAACAGAACCGUAGAAGCGUAGAGUGAAAGAAUUGAAAAUGUUCCACAGAGGAAGGUUUCUAUCGGCGCCGAUGGUGCUCGGAGCAGUGCUGAUUGGAGUUGUUUCUGGUAAAGCUAUAUUUGGACCUCCACUUGAGGAAUACUGGACAAAGAGACUUCAAGAACAGGCGGCCGCAAAGGAAACAGAUCCAGGUUCAAGUUGAACUCGUCUUGAAUGCGGUCUCCAUGUUGUGUGGUCGUACAGAACGGUGAAGUUACUGAAAUGUUUUGUAUCAUAUUUGGGAUUACUUCUGAGAUGAUAUAAUUACUGCGUUGUCGACUUUUUCAGUUGAACUAAAAUAACAUAUAGAAGAUGAAGAUGUUAAUUUGCAGUGUUUUAAUGAGUUCUGUUUCUUCAA